rnacentral:rRNA from 1 species
GACGAACGCUGGCGGCGCGCUUAACACAUGCAAGUCGAACGGAAAGGCCUGCGUUCCCUUGUGGAUUGCGGGUACUCGAGUGGCGAACGGGUGAGGAACACGGGAGUGAUCUGCCCCCAACUUGGGUAUAAGCCUGGGAAACUGGGUCUAAUUCCCGAUAGUGCUGCAGGGGGGUGCCUGUGGUGGAAAACGAUGUUCUAGUGGUUGGGGAUGAGCUGGCGGCCUAUCAGCUUGUUGGUGGGGGAAGGGCCUACCAAGGCGGCGACGGGUAGCUGGACUGAGAGGACGACCAGCAACACGGGGAGGGAGACACGGCCAAGACGCCUACGGGAGGCAGCAGUGGGGAAGUCUGGACAAGGGGGGAAAGCCUGAUCCAGCAAUGCCGCGUGUGUGAAGAAGGCCUUCGGGUUGUAAAGCACUGUUGUCAGGAAAGAAAGCCUUGACUCUAAUACAGUCGGGGGAUGACGGUACCGGAAGAAUAAGCACCGGCUAACUACGUG